UUAGAGUUUGAGCAUGGCUCAGGACGAACGCUGGCGGCGUGCUUAACACAUGCAAGUCUAAGGAGAAAGGCCCUUCGGGGACGAGUACACUGGCGAACGGGUUAGUAACGCGUAGGCAACCUGCCCUAAAGUUUGGGAUAACUCCGCGAAAGCGGGGCUAAUACCGAAUAAGAUCCCAUUUCAUAAGAAACUGGGAUUAAAGAAGGCUUCGGCUUUUGCUUUUGGAUGGGCCUGCGUCUGAUUAGUUUGUUGGUGAGGUAACGGCUCACCAAGACGAUGAUCAGUAGCUGGUUUGAGAGGACGAUCAGCAACAUUGGGACUGAGAUACGGCCCAGACUCCUACGGGAGGCAGCAGUGGGGAAUUUUGCGCAAUGGGCGAAAGCCUGACGCAGCAACGCCGCGUGAUCGAAGAAGCUCUGCGGAGUGUAAAGAUCUGUCAUAGGGGAAGAAAAAUUUCGUUAUUAACACCAUCGAAACGUGACUGUACCCUAUAAGAAAGCCCCGGCUAACUUCGUGCCAGCAGCCGCGGUAAUACGAGGGGGGCAAGCGUUGUCCGGAUUCAUUGGGCGUAAAGAGUUCGUAGGCGGAUUAGUCAGUCGAAAUUGAAAUCCCACGGCUUAACCGUGGUUCCGGUUUCGAUACUGCUGAUCUUGAGUGAGGUAGAGGUAAGCGGAAUUCCUGGUGUAGCGGUGAAAUGCGUAGAUAUCAGGAGGAACACCAAAGGCGAAGGCAGCUUACUGGGCCUAUACUGACGCUGAGGAACGAAAGCGUGGGUAGCAAACAGGAUUAGAGACCCUGGUAGUCCACGCCGUAAACGAUGAGUACUUGGUGGUGGGGGAUUCGACCCCUUCACUGUCGGAGCUAACGCGUUAAGUACUCCGCCUGGGGACUACGACCGCAAGGUUGAAACUCAAAGGAAUUGACGGGGACCCGCACAAGCGGUGGAUUAUGUGGUUUAAUUCGAUGCAACGCGAAGAA
rnacentral:rRNA from 1 species